ensembl:lncRNA
GUUAUGGAGGAGCACUUUCCCCUCUGGAACUGCAUAGAGAGGAGGAUGUGAUUUGGCCAUCUGAGGAUCUCUCGCCUGGCUUUAUGGAGCAUUCAGCUGGCUCUGAGGGCCAUAUCCUGUUCCAGCUGUAUCUGCACAAGAAAGAUAUCUUCCAUCUUAUCAUGGCUGAAACAACAAAUGUAAAUGCUGGUGCUUUAUAGUGCUGAGACUACUGCAGGAGGACACUGGUGGGGAAAUUUGCCUAUGAAUUUUCAAAAAGGCUGAAGAUGAGCAGUGCUGGUAAACCUGAGCCGUCGGCUGACUCCUCAUUUCAGAAAAGUGUUCCGACUUCCUCAUUGUUCCCCAUGAAGAGGAUGGCUCCUCGUACUCCAGUAAUACAAAGUGGUUUCUGAUUUGUGUGAGAACAUGGGAACUGGGAAACGGGAUUUGACAGUUCUUCUGCCAAGCUGUUGGAAUGAUGCUGCAAUACGCCAGUCAGGACUGACUGCUGAGAGAAUAACAGUGAAAUGAGAUUACCAUGAAACUGAGAGAACAGUGAUCUACAUUUUGCAACAGGCUCCCUGAUCCAGCGGUACUGGAUAUUGGCUGAUAGCUCAGGCAAGAUAGCACAUCCGUGGCGCAAAGCUUUGGAGGGGCCUUUCACGGCGAAACACCAUGAGCAUUGACCUGAGACGCAGCUUUCUGCUCCGCAGCCCGAGUCCUCUAGAACUCCGGCUUGCCUGCUCCCAGGAGAGGGCAGUGGAGCCGCACACGCUCCGUGCCGCGGCCGGCGGGCCGCUCCGUCCCCGCGGGGCUGUGCGAGGCACGCAUCCUAAGACAACAAGGAGCCUUGGCUGAAAACAGCAGAGUGUGGUUUUAAG